rnacentral:rRNA from 1 species
AACGAACGCUGGCGGCAGGCCUAACACAUGCAAGUCGAACGGGUGCAGCAACGCAUCAGUGGCAGACGGGUGAGUAACACGUGGGAACCUUCCUAGGGGUACGGAACAACUCAGGGAAACUUGAGCUAAUACCGUAUACGUCCGUGAGGAGAAAGAUUUAUCGCCCUUAGACGGGCCCGCGUCGGAUUAGCUAGUUGGUGGGGUAACGGCCUACCAAGGCGACGAUCCGUAGCUGAUCUUAGAGGAUGAUCAGCCACACUGGGACUGAGACACGGCCCAGACUCCUACGGGAGGCAGCAGUGGGGAAUCUUGGACAAUGGGCGCAAGCCUGAUCCAGCCAUGCCGCGUGAGUGAAGAAGGUCUUCGGAUUGUAAAGCUCUUUUGCCAGGGACGAUAAUGACGGUACCUGGAGAAUAAGCCCCGGCAAACUUCGUGCCAGCAGCCGCCGUAA